CCCUGCUGCUGCACUGGCCACGUGGUUGCAGAGAGCUGUGCUCCGACGGGAGGACUUGGAGAAAACCAGACUCCGUGGAACGCAGGGCAGCGGUUUUGAUGGCUAUCCUUUCCCGGCCUGGGGAACCCGGGACCCACGGGACAGAGGGUUAUUGAUUGAAACCUGCAGAAUGCACUCUUCACCCCUUUGAGCAAACCUGCCAGCGCCUGCCUGGACCUUUUCAGAUAACUCUCCCAUUCUGUGGGGAUGCACAGGAAAAGCCUACACCCUGCAGUCAGUAACUGUAACGACCUGUCUUACAACCUGGGCAUGCCUGUGCCACACGCUGUGUGGAAUGCCCAUAUGGACCAUCUCCUUCACUCAUCCUAAGGACCUUGAGAUGGACACAACCACCUCAGUCCCAUUCUGGCAAGAGAAGACUGAGACCAGCAUUUUCCUGGCAAAUGCAUGUACUUGGAUUAAAAACGAGGUCUUCAGGGGCACCUGGGUGGCUCAGUGGGUUAGCCUCUGCCUACCACUCAGGUCAUGAUCUCAGGGUCUUGGGAUCGAGUCCGCAUCGGGCUCUCUGCUUGGUGGGGAGCCUGCUUCCUCCUCUCUCUCUGCCUGCCUCUCUGCCUGCUUGUGAUCUCUGUCUGUCAAAUAAAUCAAUAAAACAUUAGAAAAAAUUUUAAAAUAAAAAACGAGGUCUUUA